AUCAGCUGAUUUUACGAUGAGAAACGCGAGUCCAUUGCGAGUAGGAGGACGUGGGAUUUAUAUUAAGCGAUUGAUUAAUUGUCAUUUCUGGUCCAAUUAACAGUCAGAUAUGUCUGAGGACGAGAGUAACGUAGAGAAAAAGGAGGAGGAGAAGGAGGCCGAGCAGGACGCGGAGGCGACAGAAGGCGACGCAGAAGACGCGAAGGACGAGGCUCCGAGCCCCGAAGAAGCGCGCGAGCAGAAUGUCAGUGCCCAAGGCCGCUAAAUCGCCAAAGAAAGCUGGUGCAGGCGUGAAGAAGAAAGCCCCGAAGAAGAAGCAGCAUCCCAAAACACUUGACAUGGUGGUGGAAGCAAUUGAAAAACCUCGGCGACAGGAAGGGCUCCAGUGUGCAGGCCAUCAAGUCAUACAUUCUGCAGAACUUCAAGACAGUGAGAGCUGACAUGCUGAAGUCCAUGCUGCGUCGAGCUCUUGCCUCAGGCUUGGAGUCUGGGGUGGUGACACGUCCUAAGGGGCAGGCAGAGACACAGGCAAUGAGUGGGAGAUACCUUUCUGGGUAAGGCAGCAAAGAGAGAUGAAGAUGAAGAGGUAAUGCCAAAGGAGUCCAAAAGAGUACAAGAGGCCAAGGCAAGAGCAAAGGCAAAGAAGGUCGCCAAGAAGAAGGCUGCAGCUAAAGAGGUCGCCGGCCAAGAAAGUGGCCAAGAAACCCGUUGCAAAGAAGGCCUCUCCGUCAAAGGCCAAGAAACCAGUCAAAAAAGGGGAAAAAG